rfam:Oryza barthii chromosome 4, whole genome shotgun sequence.
UUUAGGUGCAACCAUAAGUUUCCACGCUCAACUUUGAUCAUCUAUCUUAUUUAAAAAAAAAUUUAUAAUUAAUAUUUUGAUUGUUAUGAGAUGAUAAAGUAUGAAUAGUACUUUACUCGUGACUUAUGUUUCUAAAUUUUUUUAAAAAAUUUUCAAAUAAGAGGGAUGAUUUGCGAAAAGCCAUGGUUAUACUUAAA